UGGGCAGGAAUGAAUCAGACAGGAGUGGU
rnacentral:piRNA from 1 species